AGAUGACUCCGGUGCACAAGCAAGAAAGCAUUCCAGGACGGAGUGUGCGUCUAGAAGCCCUGUCCGUCAGUAGACAUCACUGCCUCCACCACCUGCAUAUGAGUCAACACCACACAGGAAACCAGCUGGUUGCCCAGAGCUGGAUUGGUCUAUUGUAACGCAA